GGAAAGGUGGCUUAGCGGUUAGAACGUUUGCCUUGCAUGUUUGGGGUUGGGGGUUCGAAUGCCACCUCUGCAA